AAUAUGGCGGCGAUUAUGCGGAAAUGAAAUUGAAUGUUACUUCGAACACGUUCUUCUACAAAAUAACCGACCUGUAUUUAGUGCUAUUGCUUUAACAUCAAUCGAAGCAAAAAUGGCAUCAAUGUAUGCGUCUAAAAAUGUUAAAUUUAGAUGGAGACAAUCCAGAAAUGAGCUGCCAGGAAGUGAUCGAUUUCGGACACGAAGAUUGAGAAGUGCCUGGAUACAAGGCUAUUAUUGUUAACAUCAUCUGAUACAAUCAACUGGAACAAAGCUGAAAUGGCUGCCUGACCUGACUUAAAAAUUGGAUGGCAGUACAUCAGACUAGAAGAUUACAAGUAUUGAGGUGGACAAAAUGAAACCUGAGCCUACCAAAGCUGACAGAUUGCACAAGAAACACAUAAAUGCAGAUUGGAAGAUUCAUUCUCUGGAAAGUAGAAAAGGGCAUGUUACAUACUGUUAUCACUGCCAUGACAGAAACCAUAUUGAGGCGCUGGUCCAC